CUUUCCGGCCUGUUGACACGGAGACGCGCGGGGCCUUUUCCCUUCUGUCUUCCUUUCCGGCCUCUUGACGUAGUCUACUUUUACUCAGCUCCUGUCAUAGUGCUUGUAAGACCCCAGAAGUGACAAGAGGGCAGGAAACUUCUGGCUCACGCCAGCACGGUAACCACUGCUUCUGUCCGUCUCCUCGACAGUCCGCACACCACUGCACAAGGCAGCGGUUUAUCUUUUUAAUUCUCUGCUUCAUUGGCAUAGCCUUGACUGGCAAACAGGAGUUGAUUGCUAUCUGGUGGGAGAUACAGAGUGGAGGCAGGCAUGGGAAAUACAGUGCGUUAAAGACUACCCGGUAUCAGGUAGCUCUUCGUAGCAGGGUGAGAAUGGACCGAUGCAGCGGCUCUCCAAGGACUGCAGCUGAUUUUCAUCACUGCAGCCAGGAAGAGCCUCCUGAAAGAUAAAUCAGACAGCAACACUUCUCAGCUCAAAACCUCAACAGUUGUAGCUCAUUUGGAGUAACACUCAGAGCCCUCCAGCCGCCUCACGUGCUCUCCCUUCCUCUCCCCUCUUACCUCUCUGCCCCUCCCUGCCCCUCCCUGCCCCAGGCACAGGGCAGGGAAGGCUCAGCUGAUCCCUGCACUGCAGAGUGGCCUGAGGGUGGGCUCCUGCUGCUUGAGAUGUCUCCUGAUGACCCCAUUUUAAACAGCAAGCCUCCCUCCACACAUCUUCCUCCCCCUCCAAUUUAUGUUUCUCCAGAGCACUUCUCAGAUCUUGAUAUGCUGUAAUCAGACUUUUGUUUGUUGUGUAUUAAGCUCUGCAAUAACA
rnacentral:lncRNA from 1 species